GCGAAGCCGACGCUUCGAACGCUGCCGGAGAAGCCAAAGAGCUCCAGGCGUCCUAGGAGUGCGGGAGGGAACACGACGCGGACCCCCACAAGGUCCAGGCCCCA
rnacentral:tRNA from 1 species